GUCGAACGGCAGCACGGAGCUUGCUCUGGUGGCGAGUGGCGAACGGGUGAGUAAUAUAUCGGAACGUACCCUGGAGUGGGGGAUAACGUAGCGAAAGUUACGCUAAUACCGCAUACGAUCUAAGGAUGAAAGUGGGGGAUCGCAAGACCUCAUGCUCGUGGAGCGGCCGAUAUCUGAUUAGCUAGUUGGUAGGGUAAAAGCCUACCAAGGCAUCGAUCAGUAGCUGGUCUGAGAGGACGACCAGCCACACUGGAACUGAGACACGGUCCAGACUCCUACGGGAGGCAGCAGUGGGGAAUUUUGGACAAUGGGCGAAAGCCUGAUCCAGCAAUGCCGCGUGAGUGAAGGAGGCCUUCGGGUUGUAAAGCUCUUUUGUCAGGGAAGAAACGGUGAAGGCUAAUAUCCUUUGCUAAUGACGGUACCUGAAGAAUAAGCACCGGCUAACUACGUGCCAGCAGCCGCGGUAAU
rnacentral:rRNA from 1 species